rnacentral:rRNA from 1 species
AUACAACUUUCAGCAACGGAUCUCUUGGCUCUCGCAUCGAUGAAGAACGCAGCGAAAUGCGAUAAGUAAUGUGAAUUGCAGAAUUCAGUGAAUCAUCGAAUCUUUGAACGCACCUUGCGCCCUUUGGCUAUUCUGAAGGGCAUGCCUGUUUGAGCAUC